UGCGGUGAUGUAAUAUUGAUCUGAAC
rnacentral:piRNA from 1 species